rnacentral:rRNA from 1 species
UACGUAGGUGACAAGCGUUGUCCGGAUUUACUGGGCGUAAAGAGCGCGCAGGCGGUCGGUCAAGUCGAGUGUGAAAGCCCCCGGCUCAACUGGGGAGGGUCAUUCGAUACUGAUCGACUCGAAGGCAGGAGAGGGUAGUGGAAUUCCCGGUGUAGUGGUGAAAUGCGUAGAUAUCAGGAGGAACACCGGUGGCGAAGGCGGGUCUCUGGGCAACAACUGACGCUGAGGAGCGAAAGCGUGGGGAGCGAACAGG